rnacentral:rRNA from 1 species
GAUGAACGCUAGCGGGAGGCCUAACACAUGCAAGCCGAGCGGUAGAGUCUCUUCGGAGCCUUGAGAGCGGCGCACGGGUGCGGAACACGUGUGCAACCUGCCUUUAUCUGGGGGAUAGCCUUUCGAAGGGAAGAUUAAUACCCCAUAAUAUACUGGAUGGCAUCAUCUGGUAUUGAAAACUCCGGUGGAUAUAGAUGGGCACGCGCAAGAUUAGCUAGUUGGUGAGGUAACGGCUCACCAAGUCAGCGAUCUUUAGGGGGCCUGAGAGGGUGAUCCCCCACACUGGUACUGAGACACGGACCAGACUCCUACGGAAGGCAGCAGUGAGGAAGAUUGGACAAGGGGUGAGAGCCUGAUCCAGCCAGCCCGCGUGAAGGACGACGGCCCUAGGGGUUGUAAACUUCUUUUGUAUAGGGAUAAACCUAGAUACGUGUAUCUAGCUGAAGGUACUAUACGAAUAAGCACCGGCUAACUCCGUG